rnacentral:rRNA from 1 species
GUAUACCUACGGGGCGCAGCAGUAGGGAAUAUUGCUCAAUGGGGGAAACCCUGAAGCAGCAACGCUGCGUGGAGGAUGAAGGUUUUAGGAUUGUAAACUCCUUCUGUUAGAGAAGAUUAUGACGGUAUCUAACGAAUAAGCACCGGCUAACUCCGUGCCAGCAGCCGCGGUAAUACGGAGGGUGCAAGCGUUACUCGGAAUCACUGGGCGUAAAGAGUGCGUAGGCGGGGUAAUAAGUCAGAUGUGAAAUCCUGUAGCUUAACUACAGAACUGCAUUUGGAACUGUUACUCUGGAGUGUGGGAGG